UCUAAACGACUCUCGGCAACGGAUAUCUCGGCUCUCGCAUCGAUGAAGAACGUAGCGAAAUGCGAUACUUGGUGUGAAUUGCAGAAUCCCGUGAACCAUCGAGUCUUUGAACGCAAGUUGCGCCCGAAGCCUUUUGGCCGAGGGCACGCCUGCCUGGGCGUCACG
rnacentral:rRNA from 1 species